rnacentral:rRNA from 1 species
ACUUAAAUUGAAGAGUUUGAUCAUGGCUCAGAUUGAACGCUGGCGGCAGGCCUAACACAUGCAAGUCGAGCGGUAGCACAGAGAGCUUGCUCUCGGGUGACGAGCGGCGGACGGGUGAGUAAUGUCUGGGAAACUGCCUGAUGGAGGGGGAUAACUACUGGAAACGGUAGCUAAUACCGCAUAACGUCGCAAGACCAAAGUGGGGGACCUUCGGGCCUCAUGCCAUCAGAUGUGCCCAGAUGGGAUUAGCUAGUAGGUGGGGUAAUGGCUCACCUAGGCGACGAUCCCUAGCUGGUCUGAGAGGAUGACCAGCCACACUGGAACUGAGACACGGUCCAGACUCCUACGGGAGGCAGCAGUGGGGAAUAUUGCACAAUGGGCGCAAGCCUGAUGCAGCCAUGCCGCGUGUAUGAAGAAGGCCUUCGGGUUGUAAAGUACUUUCAGCGAGGAGGAAGGCGUUAAGGUUAAUAACCUUGGCGAUUGACGUUACUCGCAGAAGAAGCACCGGCUAACUCCGUGCCAGCAGCCGCGGUAAUACGGAGGGUGCAAGCGUUAAUCGGAAUUACUGGGCGUAAAGCGCACGCAGGCGGUCUGUUAAGUCAGAUGUGAAAUCCCCGGGCUCAACCUGGGAACUGCAUUUGAAACUGGCAGGCUUGAGUCUUGUAGAGGGGGUAGAAUUCCAGGUGUAGCGGUGAAAUGCGUAGAGAUCUGGAGGAAUACCGGUGGCGAAGGCGGCCCCCUGGACAAAGACUGACGCUCAGGUGCGAAAGCGUGGGGAGCAAACAGGAUUAGAUACCCUGGUAGUCCACGCUGUAAACGAUGUCGACUUGGAGGUUGUUCCCUUGAGGAGUGGCUUCCGGAGCUAACGCGUUAAGUCGACCGCCUGGGGAGUACGGCCGCAAGGUUAAAACUCAAAUGAAUUGACGGGGGCCCGCACAAGCGGUGGAGCAUGUGGUUUAAUUCGAUGCAACGCGAAGAACCUUACCUACUCUUGACAUCCAGAGAACUUAGCAGAGAUGCUUUGGUGCCUUCGGGAACUCUGAGACAGGUGCUGCAUGGCUGUCGUCAGCUCGUGUUGUGAAAUGUUGGGUUAAGUCCCGCAACGAGCGCAACCCUUAUCCUUUGUUGCCAGCGGUCCGGCCGGGAACUCAAAGGAGACUGCCAGUGAUAAACUGGAGGAAGGUGGGGAUGACGUCAAGUCAUCAUGGCCCUUACGAGUAGGGCUACACACGUGCUACAAUGGCAUAUACAAAGAGAAGCGACCUCGCGAGAGCAAGCGGACCUCAUAAAGUAUGUCGUAGUCCGGAUUGGAGUCUGCAACUCGACUCCAUGAAGUCGGAAUCGCUAGUAAUCGUAGAUCAGAAUGCUACGGUGAAUACGUUCCCGGGCCUUGUACACACCGCCCGUCACACCAUGGGAGUGGGUUGCAAAAGAAGUAGGUAGCUUAACCUUCGGGAGGGCGCUUACCACUUUGUGAUUCAUGACUGGGGUGAAGUCGUAACAAGGUAACCGUAGGGGAACCUGCGGUUGGAUCACCUCCUUACCUGAAAGAA